UUGACCUCGGAUCAGGUAGGGAUAUCUGCUGAACUUAAGCAUAUCAAU
rnacentral:rRNA from 1 species